CCCCUAGACGUUCUGGGCUGCACGCGCGCUACAAUAAUACGUACAGCGAGUAUCACCGAGCUCGAAAGGGCAAGGUAAACAAUAGAAAAGGUACUGUAAUGGUUAUAGAUCCUUGUAAUUAUUGAUCUUCAACGAGGAAUUCCUAGUAAGUAUGUGUCAUCAUCACGCACUGAUUACGUCCCUGCCCUUUGUACACACCGCCCGUCGCUCCUACCGAUUGAGUGAGCCGAUGAAACUGCCGGAUGUGGACUAUUCAUAGUCUGCAGAAGAUAUUUGAAUCGUAGCGCUUAGAGGAAGGAGAAGUCGUAACA
rnacentral:rRNA from 1 species